AAGGAAAUCGAAGGUGAAUCGGAUUUGCAAGUACAUCGAGCGGAGAGGUAAACAGCACAUUGAGCGGUAUUCAUCAACACCGCAGAAGCCUUGAACGGUAUUCAUCUACACCGGUCACCACUUGACCGGAUUAGGGCUCUGAUUCGUUCAGCAGAGGUAUACCGCUCAUUUCUUACAGAUUUCUUGAACGGUUUAAACUACACCGGACAACAUAUCAUCGGAUUCACAUCAGGUAAGAUUAUAUUUGAGAAAUUUAGGGUUAUUCGCUCAUUCAAUUGAGCGGUUUUGCUUGUGUUGUGAUUGAUUUCAUUUGAAGUGUUCUGUCCGGUUUAUUAAACCGCUUGUUCAUUUCAAGGUAAAGUUUUACUUCUAUCCGGAUUUCUAAUCCGUUCGAUUUCAGUCUCACUUAUCCAAUUUUGAUUCAAGCUCAAGUGAUCUUGUUUGAUUUAAAAGGCUGUGUUGUUAAAUCAGUGUGCGAUUUAGUUCAUGCUUAUUGAAUGCUGUAUAUUGACUGAUGUGCUGUAACAGAUAUCUUUCAUGUAUUAAUCAGACUUUGUUCAUGCAGUGAGAAGUCUUAAGAUUUUGCAGUGAGCAACUUUCUUAAAGCUGUGAGUAAGCGGCUGUUUGAACUAGUUUUGAGCAGUCCUGAGUAUUGAAAUUUUUUGUUAUAUCGUAACCAUCUGCUGCUACACAAUUAAGUUUUGAGUUUGAUUGAUAUAUUAAAAUCAAUUGCUGUUUUGAUUGAGUAUGAGCACUGAAGCAGAAUGUUGUUGUCAUAGCAGUAGGUUGAAUAGAUUAUGAGUUUUGUACACAGGUUUUGAGUCUUGAACAGCAUCAAAUAUCUUGACAGAAGCUGAAUCAGAAACAGCUGUGCAGUGAUGUGUUGGUAACAGCAAGUCAGCAAGAACCAUUUUGACAGCAACAAGAGGACAUCAACAGGUUCUUUGCUGGUUUGUUCAUAGUUAUUUUGAAGUGCAGGUAUCUUGGAGCAGAAUAGAUUGUGUGGAUACAGCAACUAUUUUGGCAGCCCAGCUACUUAAAUACACAGCAGGUCUUAACAAUUGAGUGUGACUGUUUUUGUUUGGGAAGCAGUAAACAGCAAGUUAUAUAGCAGCAACUUCACAGCAGUGAACAGGUUGCAGGUCUUAACAGCAAGAGCAGGAAGCAGUAACAGCAGGUUCUUAGUUUAGCAAUAGUAGCAAAGCAACAACCAUCUUGACAGCAUGUUGUAGCAGCUCCAUAGUCUUUUAAGCAGGAUCUGUUUUGAGGUUUAUCAACAGAGUGUACAUCACACAGCAUACACAGUGUACAAGUGUACAACACACAGCAGGUUCACACACAGUAGCAUCAAUUUUGUAACAUACAGCAACUGCAACUAAACAGUUAACUGCUUACCACCUUGAGUUUAA